rnacentral:lncRNA from 1 species
AACAUUACUUUAACCGCGAUCCUUACAUUCUAACCUUUAAAAGAUUUAGCCAGACAUGGUAACACAAACGAACAUAACGGUGUUAAUCAUGAUGAAAAGUUUGUUUUAGAAUGUGAGGCGUAGAGAGCGAGCAAAGUGCGAAAAAUAAAUAAAGUAAAAGAGAUGCGAAAAAUAAAUAAAGUAAAGCGAGUGCGGAAAGUAAAUAAAAUAAAGCGAGUGCGGAAAAUAAAUAAAAUAAAGCGAGUGCGGAAAAUAAAUAAAAUAAAGUGAGUGCGAAAAAUAAAUAAAAUAAAGCGAGUGCGGAAAAU